rnacentral:lncRNA from 10 species
CAAAGAACGCAGCAUGCCACCUGGCUUCCCUAACACUUAUACUUAUUGUCACCAUGGUAAUUGGUCCUAAUGGCAUGGAGCUACCUACCCCCUUUUCUUCCUGACUCCAGAGUGAGGCAAACAAAUAUCAGUAUAGCCCAGUGACUCAAAGAAGGGCCUCUGGAUUCAUGCUGCUGUGGUUCAAUCUGAUAGCUUUUUGAGUGAUCUUGAACAUUCAAUCAACUCUCUAGGCCAGUAGUUUUCAAAGUGUGUUCUGAAGAUCCAAGGAAGUCCGUGAAGUCCAAACAAUUUCUGUAAUAACAGCUCUGCAGCUAACUGCCUUGGAAACCACAAAGAGGAGUGCAUAUGUUUAUUUGUUGGUGAUCACAUUGCUGGGUACAGUGGAAAAACAUGUAAGAGCUUUCAAUCUGUUUGGAGAUACAGGACUUGUGAAACAACAUCAAAGCAGAUGGAAGCAGCAGCAAUAGGAACAGCAGCAACACAGCCUCGGACCAACUGAGCAUUUAAUUGAACACCUAAUGGAGUGACACUUUGUUUCCUAGGCAAAUUUGGUUGCUAUUAACAGGGAGGUAGUUAUCAUGGUUAAAUUUACUCAUUACAACAAAGUACUAGGGGAGCUUUUUAAUAUUUAUGUGACAAUAAUUGAUCUCUUACCACUGUCAAGUACUGCUAAAGACUUAUCAGCUUGCUGUUUCAGCACCAUAUGUUGUAGCCAAGAUGCACUCCAUGUGUCCUUCCUGUGCCUUGGGGAGAGAACAUUUGCAGUAGAUCAGAAUAGAAAAUGGUAUGGGUUUCAGAAAAGCUGCUUGCUCUCAGCUUUCUCGUCAGUGACCGGGGUAUGCAAGUUGUGACUAUAAAGUAAUGAGACUACCUUCCAAAACCACCCGUGAAAUGAAGCCUCGACCUUUAAUUGUUCUCUUCCCUAGGUUUGAACCAAGAACUGGUCGACCUAAUUAAAGGGGAUUCCUCGUAAAUUCGCCUUGUAUUGCAUUCAACUUAUUUUAAAUAGGGCAUUCUGUGAAAUCUGAAAACCCGCCUACAAUUAAAACACUAACAUCUAUACCAUUUGGUUUUUCUUAAUGAGCCAUGUGCUGAUUUCACUUGUCUUAUUUCAGCAAUAACAAGGAUUAGCACACACAUACCAUAAAUCUCCCAGGAACCUAAGGAGUGGGCUUUUAGAAUUUUUCUUGAGGCAGAUUUCAUUUGAACUUUAUUUAUGGGAGUGAGUGAGCUACUUGGGGAAAGAGAGUUUAACUGUUUCAAACUGUGAGGGUCCCCUUAAGUAAACUGCGUCUGGGAAUCACAGUGUGGGUCAAGGAGCUAGAAACAUUAAGCAUCCCACAGUCAUAUGCAUAGGGAGGCUACCUCAAUAGCUCUGCCUGCCUGAUGAGGUGGGGUUGCAAUGACCCUUGGGUCGUCUGGAGGGUCACAGUUUCAGAAGAUGUGGUGAAAUAAGGCAAGUGUGUUACCAUGACCAUGAUAAUAUUUAUAUUUUAGAAGUAUCUUGAUGUGGUGGGCCUUAAGGAACUGACAUUCACAAGUCUUCCUCCAAGCACACACUGUCUACUAGGUCAAUCACACAAUGAGCUGUUAAUAUUUAAAAUCUAAACACAACAAAAAUUUUUUAAAAAUGGAUCUGUCAAUCACAGUGGAAUGCUAUUUUCCUGGGAUCACUGUGCCACCAUCUUUUCUGGGAUCGAGAAUCUCCUUUUCCGUUCGUUUGUUAGUUUGCUUUUUUGCACCGUUGGAGGAGAACGUUUUCAAAGCAAAUUAAGAGAAAAUUGAAGAAAUGGACCUUUAACCCUUCCUCAGAGCUACUGAUGAGGGCCUGAGAGAAACUUCUCUUUAAAAUCCUCUGGAAAUCUAGAAGCCAUUUGAACAUGUUCAUUAGUGGCCUUUGGCCAAUGAUGUCUGUACAUUUCUUAGACAACUUUUCAUAUAUUUGGAAAAUUCAAUCCAGCCCUAAUGCCACUGUGGAUUAUUUCCUUGGGCUCCUGGAUAUUUUCUGUGCUUCUUCUUCUUUUUUUUGGAUCUG